rnacentral:lncRNA from 8 species
AGGCUCAGUUCCAGCUUUGUGAAGUCCACCAUCAGACAGAUCUAUGACAGUAGAGACAGUGACUGUGUGUCCAGUUUGUUGAGGUCUUCAGACCAUUGGAUCAACCUGAACAGCAGAGAGCUGGACAGAGUGGACUGUACUGCUCUGUGUUUCACCCUGCAGCACAGCCACCAAGUCAAAGUCAACCUGCUGUGGACCUCCAUACCACCGGGGGAGAUAGAGAGCAUCCUGCCUCUUCUGGACAGAGUCUCCCAACUCAGUGUUGACAGGAAGCUGUUGCUGAGUUUCCUCCACUCCUGCGCUGCCUCUCAGAUCCUACAGGGGGCACUAUCACCACCACCAACAAUAACAACAACAGCAGCAGAGCUGCUCAGGGCUCUGCAGCACAGGUUGGACUUCUCCUGCUCCUCCUCUGUGGACCUGUCAGCUCACGACCAGGGGGAGGCGCUGUGUCUGACCACUGACCACUGUAGGGCCAUAAACUCUGUUCUGAAGCAGAGCCAACACAGCACACGGCUGGUUCAGAACCCGACCCGGAACCAGUCCCGAAACCAGCCCCAGGUGCAACUCAUCCUUAAAGACUGUGAGGUGGAGCAUGGAGCACUGAGAGAGCUGCUUCCCAUCUUGCAUAUUGUCAAGCUGAGCCCCAGCAAAGCUCUGCUACUUCAGCUGCUGGACCAUGUGUGUGAGGGGAUUGAAGAGGGGGUUCUGAAGCACGCAGAGUCCCUGUGCAGAGCCCUGGAUGGGGAGCUGGACCUCAGUAAGACCAGGCUGAACCAGAAGGCCUGUGGAUCUCUGGCCCUGGUUCUGGAACACUCAGAGGGGCUGUCAGAACUGUACCUCAACCACUGCCAACUCACAGACCACCACCUACAGCCCCUGCUCACACACCUGCACAAAGUUGAAGUCCUGGAGUGAGUGGGUUUCACUCUGUGUGUGUGUGUGUGUGUGUGUGUGUGUGUGUGUGUGUGUGUGUGUGUGUGUGUGUGUGUGUGUGUGUGUGUAAAACC